UUAACACUUACUUUUGUAUGUAUCUUUUUAGAACAGCAGAAUUCAUACAAACUUGUCAAGAGAGUGAUCAAUGGGCAAGCACGGAAAGCUGGGACAAGUACUGUGUCUCUGAAUGAACUGGAUGAGCUGAAGAUUGAUGAGGAAGACCCGUUUCUUGAUGAUGUGUCUGAAGUCAUCAAGGAAGUCGGCAAUACUAUCGAUAAGAACCCUCGAUUCAAACGGCUUACUGAUGAGUUUGCAUGUGUGGCAAAUGAAAAGAAUUUGUGGAAACUUGCAUAUAAAGUGAUUGCAGAUGGCAUUACCUGGGGGAAGAUUGUUACUCUGAUCUGGAUCGUUGGAAAAGCAGUU